CACAGUCAGAUAUUUCACCCAGAAAAUCUGAGGGCCCUACAAAGCUAACCAGGGCUAAAACAUUUGCAGAGAAACAUUAUGAAUUCCCUGUGUUUCUUAUUAAACUCUUCUGGAUUAUGGAUCCUUUUUCAUCUCAUAUCAUGAGCCACAGAGGAAAUCUUGGGAGACAAUGAAGCUCUGAUCACCUCUCAUGAAAGUGAUAAUGAAAGGAUGAAUCUGGCACAAUGCCAUUAGUGCUGCUUUCACAGCAACUCAUUUCCACCCUGUUGCACCAGCUGAAGUAUCCCCAAACAGGAGUAAAGCAGCACUUGGAGCCACCAACUUUUCUCUUCUU